rnacentral:rRNA from 1 species
UACGUAGGGACCAAGCGUUGUUCGGAUUACUGGGCGUAAAGGGCGCGUAGGCGGCUUGUCAAGUCACUUGUGAAAUCUCUGGGCUUAACCCAGAACGGCCAAGUGAAACUGACAUGCUAGAGUGCAGAAGGGGCAAUCGGAAUUCUUGGUGUAGCGGUGAAAUGCGUAGAUAUCAAGAGGAACACCUGAGGUGAAGACGGGUUGCUGGGCUGACACUGACGCUGAUGCGCGAAAGCCAGGGGAGCAAACGGG